rnacentral:rRNA from 1 species
GAUGAACGCUGGCGGCGGGCCUAAUACAUGCAAGUCGAGCGAACGGACGAGAAGCUUGCGUCUCUGAUGUUAGCGGCGGACGGGUGAGUAACACGUGGAUAACCUACCUAUAAGACUGGGAUAACUUCGGGAAACCGGAGCUAAUACCGGAUAAUAUUUUGAACCGCAGGGUUCAAAAGUGAAAGACGGUUCUGCUGUCACUUAUAGAUGGAGCCGCGCUGCAUUAGCUAGUUGGUAAGGUAACGGCUUACCAAGGCAACGAUGCAUAGCCGAUCUGAGAGGGUGAUCAGCCACACUGGAACUGAGACACGGUCCAGACUCCUACGGGAGGCAGCAGUAGGGAAUAUUCGGCAAUGGGCGAAAGCCUGACGGAGCAACGCCGCGUGAGUGAUGAAGGUCUUCGGAUCGUAAAGCUCUGUUAUUAGGGAAGAACAUCUGUGUAAGUAACUGUGCACAUCUUGACGGUACCUAAUCAGAAAGCCCCGGCUAACUACGUG